GACGAACGCUGGCGGCGUGCUUAACACAUGCAAGUCGAACGGUGAAGCUCCAGCUUGCUGGAGUGGAUCAGUGGCGAACGGGUGAGUAACACGUGAGCAACCUGCCCCUGACUCUGGAAUAAGCGCUGGAAACGGCGUCUAAUACUGGAUACGAGAAGGGUCCGCAUGGGCACUUUCUGGAAAGUUUUUCGGUUGGGGAUGGGCUCGCGGCCUAUCAGCUUGUUGGUGAGGUAAUGGCUCACCAAGGCGACGACGGGUAGCCGGCCUGAGAGGGCGACCGGCCACACUGGGACUGAGACACGGCCCAGACUCCUACGGGAGGCAGCAGUGGGGAAUAUUGCACAAUGGGCGAAAGCCUGAUGCAGCGACGCCGCGUGAGGGAUGACGGUCUUCGGGUUGUAAACCUCUUUCAGCAGGGAAGAAGCGAAAGUGACGGUACCUGCAGAAGAAGCACCGGCUAACUACGUG
rnacentral:rRNA from 1 species